rnacentral:rRNA from 1 species
AACGAACGCUGGCGGCAUGCCUAACACAUGCAAGUCGAACGAGACCUUCGGGUCUAGUGGCGCACGGGUGCGUAACGCGUGGUAACCUGCCCUUAGGUUCGGAAUAACUCCCCGAAAGGGGUGCUAAUACCGGAUAAUGUCUUCGGACCAAAGAUUUAUCGCCUUUGGAUGGGCCCGCGUUGGAUUAGCUAGUUGGUAGGGUAAAAGCCUACGAAGGCGACGAUCCAUAGCUGUUCUGAGAGGAUGAUAAGCCACACUGGGACUGAGAAACGGCCCAGACUACUACGGGAGGGAGCAGUGGGGAAUAUUGGAAAAUGGGCGAAAGCCUGAUACAGCAAUGACGCGUAAGUGAUGAAGGCAUUAGGGUUGUAAAGCUCUUUUAAACGGGAUGAUAAUGACAGUACCGGGAGAAUAAGCUCCGGCUAACUACGUG